GGCAACUUGGCCGAGUGGUCUAAGGCGAUCGACUCAAGUGGAUACAGAUAUCUGUUAUCUCUUGGUCCUCCUAGAGGACAGCAAUUCGAUUCUCGAGAGGGGCGUGAGUUCGAAUCUCACAGUUGUCA